AAACAGUUGUGACAAAAGGAUCCUUAUCAGAGGUCAGUUCCAGUGAGAGCUGCUGGAAAGGAAGAAAACUUGCUUAAAUUUGGAACCAGGCAAGCUAACAAUCUAAGGUCUACUAGGACAACAUGUGAAGGCUGAAUCCUUGCUCUGUCACACAUGGCUUACACGCCCCUGCUCAAGUUACUUAAUUUCUGUGAGCCUCAACGAUUCCAUCUGUAAAAGAAGGGAUAUAUUUGAUCAUCAUGUGCCUUUGAUAAACCAGCAAUCUACAGAAGAGUGGAGAGGAG
rnacentral:lncRNA from 1 species